rnacentral:rRNA from 1 species
CACUCUAGCGAGACUGCGGUAAUAACCGGAGGAAGUGGGGAUGACGUCAAAUCAUCAUGCCCCUUAUGACCUGGGCUACACACGUGCUACAAUGGUUGGUACAACGAGUUGCGAGUCGGUGACGGCGAGCUAAUCUCUUAAAGCCAAUCUCAGUUCGGAUUGUAGGCUGCAACUCGCCUACAUGAAGUCGGAAUCGCUAGUAAUCGCGGAUCAGCACGCCGCGGUGAAUACGUUCCCGGGCCUU